rnacentral:rRNA from 1 species
UACAGAGGGGGCAAGCGUUAUUCGGAAUUAUUGGGCGUAAAGGGCGCGUAGGCGGCCUGGCAAGUGGAAGGUGAAAUCCCUCGGCUUAACCGAGGAACUGCCUUCCAAACUGCUUGGCUUGAGUCCGGGAGAGGUGAGUGGAAUUCCCAGUGUAGCGGUGAAAUGCGUAGAUAUUGGGAGGAACACCAGUGGCGAAGGCGGCUCACUGGACCGGAACUGACGCUGAGGCACGAAAGCGUGGGGAGCAAACAGG